GUAUCGCAGGACAUGGUGUCCAAUUCGUCUCCAAAACGAUAGGAGCAGGUUCGAUUCCUGCGCGAUGCGCCA
rnacentral:tRNA from 1 species